GUAUUUCACUUUGGUAGUACAUACACAAAAAUUGGAACAAUACAGAGAAGAUUAGCAUGGCUCCUUGGCAAGGAUGACAUGCAGAUUCACAAAGAGUGACAAAAUCUUU